GACGAACGCUGGCGGCGUGCCUAAUACAUGCAAGUAGAACGCACAGUUUAUACCGUAGCUUGCUACAUCAUAGACUGUGAGUUGCGAACGGGUGAGUAACGCGUAGGUAACCUGCCUGGUAGCGGGGGAUAACUAUUGGAAACGAUAGCUAAUACCGCAUAAUAUUGAUUAUUGCAUGAUAAUUGAUUGAAAGAUGCUAUUGCAUCACUACCAGAUGGACCUGCGUUGUAUUAGCUAGUAGGUGAGGUAACGGCUCACCUAGGCGACGAUACAUAGCCGACCUGAGAGGGUGAUCGGCCCAACUGGGACUGAGACACGGCCCAGACUCCUACGGGAGGCAGCAGUAGGGAAUCUUCGGCAAUGGACGAAAGUCUGACCGAGCAACGCCGCGUGAGUGAAGAAGGUUUUCGGAUCGUAAAGCUCUGUUGUAAGAGAAGAACGGGUGUGAGAGUGGAAAGUUCACACUGUGACGGUAUCUUACCAGAAAGGGACGGCUAACUACGUG
rnacentral:rRNA from 1 species